UCGAGAAUCUUCCGCAAUGGGCGAAAGCCUGACGGAGCAAUGCCGCGUGGUGGAUGAAGGCCCUCGGGUUGUAAACACCUGUCAGUAGGGAGGAAAUUUUGACCGAUCUACAGAGGAAGUCCGGGCUAAGUACGUGCCAGCAGCCGCGGUAAUACGUACCGGACAAACGUUAUUCGGAAUCACUGGGCUUAAAGAGUACGUAGGCUGCCUUGUAGGUGAGAUGUGAAAUCCCACGGCCCAACCGUGGAACUGCGUUUCAAACCACAAGGCUUGAGGGAGACAGGGGUGAGCGGAACUGAUGGUGGAGCGGUGAAAUGCGUUGAUAUCAUCAGGAACACCGGUGGCGAAGGCGGCUCACUGGGUCUUUUCUGACGCUGAGGUACGAAAGCUAGGGUAGCGAACGGGAUUAGAUACCCCCGUAGUCC
rnacentral:rRNA from 1 species